GAUGAACGCUGGCGGCGUGCCUAAUACAUGCAAGUCGAGCGAACGGACGAGAAGCUUGCUUCUCUGAUGUUAGCGGCGGACGGGUGAGUAACACGUGGAUAACCUACCUAUAAGACUGGGAUAACUUCGGGAAACCGGAGCUAAUACCGGAUAAUAUUUUGAACCGCAUGGUUCAAAAGUGAAAGACGGUCUUGCUGUCACUUAUAGAUGGAUCCGCGCUGCAUUAGCUAGUUGGUAAGGUAACGGCUUACCAAGGCAACGAUGCAUAGCCGACCUGAGAGGGUGAUCGGCCACACUGGAACUGAGACACGGUCCAGACUCCUACGGGAGGCAGCAGUAGGGAAUCUUCCGCAAUGGGCGAAAGCCUGACGGAGCAACGCCGCGUGAGUGAUGAAGGUCUUCGGAUCGUAAAACUCUGUUAUUAGGGAAGAACAUAUGUGUAAGUAACUGUGCACAUCUUGACGGUACCUAAUCAGAAAGCCACGGCUAACUACGUGCCAGCAGCCGCGGUAAUACGUAGGUGGCAAGCGUUAUCCGGAAUUAUUGGGCGUAAAGCGCGCGUAGGCGGUUUUUUAAGUCUGAUGUGAAAGCCCACGGCUCAACCGUGGAGGGUCAUUGGAAACUGGAAAACUUGAGUGCAGAAGAGGAAAGUGGAAUUCCAUGUGUAGCGGUGAAAUGCGCAGAGAUAUGGAGGAACACCAGUGGCGAAGGCGACUUUCUGGUCUGUAACUGACGCUGAUGUGCGAAAGCGUGGGGAUCAAACAGGAUUAGAUACCCUGGUAGUCCACGCCGUAAACGAUGAGUGCUAAGUGUUAGGGGGUUUCCGCCCCUUAGUGCUGCAGCUAACGCAUUAAGCACUCCGCCUGGGGAGUACGACCGCAAGGUUGAAACUCAAAGGAAUUGACGGGGACCCGCACAAGCGGUGGAGCAUGUGGUUUAAUUCGAAGCAACGCGAAGAACCUUACCAAAUCUUGACAUCCUUUGACAACUCUAGAGAUAGAGCUUUCCCCUUCGGGGGACAAAGUGACAGGUGGUGCAUGGUUGUCGUCAGCUCGUGUCGUGAGAUGUUGGGUUAAGUCCCGCAACGAGCGCAACCCUUAAGCUUAGUUGCCAUCAUUAAGUUGGGCACUCCAAGUUGACUGCCGGUGACAAACCGGAGGAAGGUGGGGAUGACGUCAAAUCAUCAUGCCCCUUAUGAUUUGGGCUACACACGUGCUACAAUGGACAAUACAAAGGGCAGCGAAACCGUGAGGUCAAGCAAAUCCCAUAAAGUUGUUCUCAGUUCGGAUUGUAGUCUGCAACUCGACUACAUGAAGCUGGAAUCGCUAGUAAUCGUAGAUCAGCAUGCUACGGUGAAUACGUUCCCGGGUCU
rnacentral:rRNA from 1 species